UAGGGAAUCUUCGGCAAUGGACGAAAGUCUGACCGAGCAACGCCGCGUGAGUGAAGAAGGUUUUCGGAUCGUAAAACUCUGUUGUUAGAGAAGAACAAGGACGUUAGUAACUGAACGUCCCCUGACGGUAUCUAACCAGAAAGCCACGGCUAACUACGUGCCAGCAGCCGCGGUAAUACGUAGGUGGCAAGCGUUGUCCGGAUUUAUUGGGCGUAAAGCGAGCGCAGGCGGUUUCUUAAGUCUGAUGUGAAAGCCCCCGGCUCAACCGGGGAGGGUCAUUGGAAACUGGGAGACUUGAGUGCAGAAGAGGAGAGUGGAAUUCCAUGUGUAGCGGUGAAAUGCGUAGAUAUAUGGAGGAACACCAGUGGCGAAGGCGGCUCUCUGGUCUGUAACUGACGCUGAGGCUCGAAAGUGUGGGGAGCAAACAGG
rnacentral:rRNA from 1 species